ensembl:misc_RNA 7SK 7SK RNA
GGGUUUGAGGGCAAUCUGGCUGCAACAUCUGUGACCCAACUGAUUGUCAUGUUUGAUUCCGCUGACCUGACUGGCUAGGCAGGUGCCCCUUUUUCUCCCUCAUUGCUCCAUGUAUUUCCCUUCCAAAUCUGCGAGCUUGGUCAAAGAGGAUGUCUGAGGAGGACUGGUCUUCAGUCAAGCAUAUACAAAUAGCUGUGCUCCCUUGCUAGAACCUCCAAACAAGCUCUUGUAAAAAGCACCUUCAUAAGAACGAAAAAUCAGGUAAGAACUCAGAAUACCUGGUUCUAACUU